GCCUUUGUAGCGCAGUGGUUAACGCGUUCGGCUGUUAACCGAAAGGUCGAGAGUUCGAGUCUCUCCAAGGGCG
rnacentral:tRNA from 3 species